GGACGUAUGAGUAACGCGUGAGAAUCUGCUCUAGGUCGGGGACAACAACCCGGAAAGGAUUGCUAAUACCCGAUGUGCAGCAAUGUGAAAGAUUUAUUGCCUAGAGAUGAGCUCGCGUCUGAUUAGCUAGUAGGUGUGGUAAUGGCGCACCUAGGCGACGAUCAGUAACUGGUCUGAGAGGAUGACCAGUCACACUGGGACCUGAGACACGGCCCAGACUCCUACGGGAGGC
rnacentral:rRNA from 1 species